CCUUCAUAAAGGCGGUAAACGAUUCAUCACCUUUCUAAUUUUCCACAAAAGUCUUUUAAAAAAUUAUUUGUUAGGAUAUUUUAUAUUGUUAAGAUUGUAUGUGAUUUGUUAAAAUUUAUCUAUGAUUGUUACGAUUAUAUAUAAAAAAUUAAAAAAAUGAGAUUGCUAGAAUUGUAUGUGGAUUAUUAGAAUUUUUGUUUGAUUGUUAGAAUUAUAUGGAUAGAUUUUAACAAAUCACAUNAUUAUAUAUAAAAAAUUAAAAAAAUGAGAUUGCUAGAAUUGUAUGUGGAUUAUUAGAAUUUUUGUUUGAUUGUUAGAAUUAUAUGGAUAGAUUAUUAAGAUUUUUUUUGUUGUUAAGAUUAUAUAUAUAACUUGUUGAAAAUUUUAUAUAUAUGAUUGUUAGGAUUAUCUAAGAAAUAGAAAUAAAUAAUAAAACAGAAUGACGCUGAAUGAUUCGCCGCUUUUGUAGGAAAUUAGAAAGACGGUGAAUCGUUUACUGCUUUAAUGAAUGCAGUAAAGCGGUAAACGACUCACCGCCUUUAAUAAAAAAUUCCACCAUGACUCUUACAUGGCAAAAAGAGGAUUAGCUUACAAAAUUUUUUAUAGGGUUAUUUAUUCAAUUAGAGAAUUUUAUAGGAUUCUUUUAAAAAAAAGGCCCUAGUAAGUGACUGUUAAGUUUAUUUUCUUAAAAGAAAUAAAUUACGUGAAUAGUAUACUAUCUUUCUCUGACAAAUUCAAAAGAAAACAACUAAGAAACAACAGUUUCGGAAGUCGUUUUUUAGUAAAGUGCACUUGGCAGCGUAUCAAAUCGAUCUUCUUGAGCAGCUUACGAUGAUAUCUGUUUGUUUCCAAUGGUAAAGUUCAAGUUGAAGUGGACUUUCGGAUGAACCAAAUUUUAGAUGAAAAUUACUUUACUUUUGCUGUUUGUUUAAAUGUUGCGGAACUAAAGUUCUUUCAGUUUUACUAUUUACUUUGCAAAAAAGAAAUCACGUGAAAGGUGGAGGUGUAAGAGAUAGAUUGAUUUUUUUUGCACUUUCUUUUUUUCGUAAUUAGCUCCGACUUGGGGUGGGCCGAAAUCUAUUCCACUACUUUGAAAAGCUUGAAUUUCAAUUGAAAGUGAAGUUCAUUGAACCAAACAACAAAAUUUGGUAUUUAUGACAAAAAAAUUACUUUAUCUCUCUCCACUUCUAGUAAAAUAAACUCACCCUAAAUAACAGGUUUACCUCUUCAGUUAUGGAUAGGGAUGUCAACGGGUUGGAUUCAUAGCAAAUUUUUUAAAAUUUAAACACAAAGCUAAAAUCCGAACCCAAAACUCGGAAUCAAAUUAGAAUCGGAACUUGAACCCAAACCUGAACUCAAUAGAUUUUGAAAAUUCAUUUCCAAAUCCAAAAAUCAAACCCGUAAAACCAAACCCAAAAUAAUUAUUUUUUUACUAUAUUUUAAAAUAUAUUAUAUUAAAAUUUAAACUUUUAAUAAGUUCAAGUAUAACUGGGCUACUAUUAGUAGCAAAAUUCCAUUAUUGCUACUAGUUUUUUAGCCUUUGGAUCAGCUCUUUUCAUCAUUUCUAGCCAUUGGAUUAAAUACUACAACCCUGUGGGGACCACUCAACCCUAAGGGGACCACUCAACUCUAACUGACUAAUAUCAUUUUAACCCUAUAAUUUUUCAUCCAAGGGUUAAAAACUUAAUAGCAAAAAAGGCAUUUUACUAUUAAUAGUAUUCCAGCCUGAUUCUAUAUAUAUAUAUAUAUAUAUUAUUAAUUUAGGGCGUGUUUAUUUUGUCUAUUUUUUACCUAGGAGUCGGAAUCGGAAAGUGCAAUUUCGUUUAUUAGUGUUUGAUAUACAGGAGUAUUAUUCCAAUUCCGAUUUCCAAGUAGAAUGAGAAUCCCCCCAAUCACCUAUUUUCCAUUCCGGCUUAGUAGGCCGCUUUGGAAGUUGAAUUCGGGUGGAAUAAAUAUUUGUUCGAAUAUUUUUAAUCUUAUUUUAAUUAAAAUAUAAUUUAAAAUUUAAAAAUUAUAUUUAUAAUUUUAAAUUUAAUUUGAACUUGAAUUAAAAUUAAAAUUCAAUCAAACAUUUCAAAUCUAAUUAUAAAUUUAAAAUUAUAUUAAAAUUUAAUUUAAAAUUUAAAGUUUUAUUAAAAUUUUAUCUAAAAUUUAUAUUAAAUUUUAUGGAUUCGAAUUUAUAUUUAAAUUAUAAUUUUAAGUUUGAAUUUGAAUAAAUCGAAAUUUAGUUUUAUACUUUGAAUUAGCCACUCAAUUUCAAAUUUUAUAUUUUUAAAAAUAUAUUUAAAAUUUUGACAUCAUUUUAAAAUUUUAAAUAUUUAAUUUUUUUGUUUUAAUUUAAAUUAUAAAAUUCUAUGUUUUUAGUUGCGAA
rnacentral:lncRNA from 1 species